CACAGGCAUCCAUUUUCCAUAACCUCUGCCCCGGAUGAUAAUUACCCAAGCGUUCAUAUUAAGAUACUUGGUGAUUAGACUAGAAAUCUGAAAGCCAAAUUUGUUAAGGCGUGCCAACCACCCCUCAAUGGCCAGAGUAGACUUCUAAGAGCUGACUGCAUCAAAGAAGACAGCCAACCGAGGAUAAUUCUGAAGAUGCGAGUGAAGAUUGAGAUACUUAUCAUGAUGGUUUAUUGACAAAGAUGGAAAUUGAAAGAUGUAUGGUUGAUGAUGAUGUCUUUUAUUAGAAGCUAAGAUACAUUUAUAUGAUAUAAUAUUUUGGUUUUUCCUAGAUUAUUAGUAGUAAACUCUAAGUGCAUUAUAUGAAU